AAAAUCAAUGCCCUUCGGGGCUCCUUGGUGAUUCAUAAUGAUUUUUCUAAUCGCAUGGCCGUGCGCCGGCGAUGGUUCAUUCAAAUAUCUUCCCUCUCAUCUUUCGAUGGCAGGGUCUUGUCCUCCCAUGGUUACAUCGGGUAACGGAGGGUUAGGGCUCUACCCCGGAGAAGGAGCCUGAGAAACGGCUACUACAUCCAAGGAAGGCAGCAGGCGCGCAAAUUACCCACUCCUCGAUUCGGGGAGGGAGUGACAAUAAAUACUGAUACAGGGCUCUUUCGGGUUUUGUAAUUGGAAUGAGUACAAUUUAAAUCCCUUAACGAGGAACAAAGGGGGGCAAGUUUGGUA
rnacentral:rRNA from 1 species